GACGUGGGGAAACAUCACCUUUCUACAUAUGAACAUAUUUAAUUCUUCAUUUCCCAUCACAUGUCCCAAUCCAUAAAAUUGCUGAGAUAUUUAUAGACAAGGUAGAAUUUAAUGCUAACUAAAUUUUAAAAAUUAAACAUAUUAAAAGUUAAAAACUUCAAUUCAUCGGCAAAUUCAUGUCAAGAUGAUGUUAGGAAAAAAUUACAGAGAGUUCAACAUGAUAAAUCACAUGCGAAGAUCGCUACAAGUUCGAGUGUCAAAUAUAAAGUAUAGGAAUAUAAAGCCAAAAAGCUACUGUUUGAUCAAUUAUUUAUCCUGUCUCAUCCCUUCGUUCUUCAAGAAUCAAGAUUCAUCUACAUCCACCCCAAAAGAGCGUAUACAAGAAAAAGUCAAAUCUGAUUGUCAUCUGCGGAUAGCGUUUCCAGGGGCGGGCUUCACCGUGCAACCCACCCAAAAGAGCGAAUAUUAUGCCAUCUUAGUUAUUCUAAAUAUAGUAAGUAGUAUUCGUGUAUGGUGCCUACUUCUUCUCUUUCAAGUUUUCACUCCAUUUCUAUUAGUAUUGUUGUUAACGUCAGAUUAUUGCCCAUUCCUCGUUCUCGCCUUUUUCUCGUCUUUCUUCAUUCUCUGUUAUCGUCUUAGCCUUUUGCCAUCUCUUAAUUGAGUUCAAGAUUGGAUCUUUUACAGAUCGCUCACUUGCUCAUAAUAUAAAGCAAGCAAUUGUUCAUUAAGGGGUCCAGCCAGUUGUUCCUCAUAAUAAAUUCUAUCACUGCACAGCAAGACAUACAAUCUGUUCCAGAUAAUUCAGAGAAACCAAUAUUCUCUCAGAAUCAACUUGAAACAACAAGGACCCAUACUACCGAUAUUAGUGUGGAAAAUUACAAGAAAUGGCAUCAGUGUUUUUGUACCAUGUGGUGGGGGAUCUGACGGUGGGAAAACCUGAGCUGGUUGAGUUUGCAGAGACAGAAACAGUGGAGGCCGCCAUUCGGGCCAUAGGAGAAUCCUCGGAGGGAGGAAUUCCAGUGUGGAACAAGAGAUCACAGAAGAGUGUGAUUGAGAAUGCAGAAAUGAGGCAGCAGAGAUUUGUGGGCAUCUUGAAUUCCCUUGAUAUUGUGGCAUUCUUGGCCAGAGAGGAGUGUGUGGCCGAUCAGGCUAAGGCCAUCAAGACACCAGUUUCCGAGGUUGUAAUUCACAACAAUUCUGCGCUAAAGGCGGUUGAUCCUGGCACAAGGUUCACUCUCUUACUUUAACCUGUGCUACCUUCUCAGUUUCUUGCCAGUAGCUUGAAACUUCGAAUGUUUUGGGAUUUGUGAAUAAGUUGUAUGAUUUUUCAUUUGUGAUUCUUGGUAUUAUGCAUGAAAAUUUCACAUAACCUGACUUCAGUUCUCUUUGAAACUUGGAUUUAGAGGUGUCAAAGGACCAAUGGGAGAAAUUCCAAUACGAUUAAGUUCAAAACUCUUGUCGAAUGUUUUCAGAUUAACAAGAAUGAAUGACACAAUCUCCAUAGAAAAAAUAAUGAUUGCAAAUGACGUAGAGGUGUAGAAUUUGACAACUCCAUAUAAAUGCUCAUUAACUUCACUGUUAUUUUCUCCUUAUUUACUAACCGAGGAAAAUGGAGUUUUUCAGAACCUUCACUCUUUACCAUCAUAUUUUCAAGGUUCUAAGUAAAGUCUAGAGCAUGAGAAGUAGUUAUAAUACUGCAAUAGGAUAUAAUGCAUUUGCUUAUAAACAGGGAUAUGGAACCUUAUCUUGAUCAAUUGUGAAAACGCCAUUAUAUGUUAUAAAGAUGUACUUAUGACUUGCUAUACUUGCAAAAUUAGUAGCUAUCUCUUACCAGAUGACGAAAAUAGGGGUGAAUUAGUUGAACUUUAAAUGCCAAUUCAUAAGCUAUUAUUUUAAGAGAAUUCGAUGUUUUUUGUAGCAGACAUUGUUCACUAUGGGUCAAAUCUUCUAGAAGUUGGCAAAAGGUGAUUUUAUUCCUUUUCUCUCAUUUUCUUUAUGUAUAAGUGUCGCUUUUUGUCUCUCCCACACACAAUAAGAUUCUUGUCUCAUUCACUUGUUAGGCUUCUCAUUUUCUUUAUUGUUUUGGUCAUUUGGACUGCACACAACUAAGUAGAAGUAUCCAAAUGUUGAAACGGUGAAGUGCGAGGGACAUUAGUAAUUGCAAAAACAUGACUCUAUAAGUAUAUAUUGAGUGUUAUAUAUACUUAGACAUGGCUGGACUUGACAAGUGAAUUUUAUUUUCAAAAUUUACAGAAAUUUACAUGAAAUAUUAUAAAAAUAAAUUUGGACUGUAUAUACAAUUAUAGAAGCAAUCAGUUUUGACAUUGUACCAUUGGUGGCAAAAUCUUACUUGGUUCCUGUAUUUGUUACCUCAAUGAAGUAACUAGUUAUUAUUUAGGAAGUGGAAAAUCUCUGGGGUACUAUCAUUCACUCUGUUAACUUCUAUUUGGAAAGCAUAACUUUUAUCUGGAAAAUCAAUGAAGACUCAUAAGGUUAUAAGACCUUUUGUAAAACUAAGGUUCUUGACUUUACCAACAAUCAUGUCCAACGAAAUAUAGGAUGCUCCAGAAACCCAAGAAGUGUAUGUGCAUUGUGCACCUUCCAUGGUUUAAAAAUAUCCCUUCCAGCAGUGCACCUCAGGAAGAACCUUUAUGAGGCGUACACUUCUACUGAUUGAAAUUGAAUUGGCCCUGAUUAUAAAAGAAUUAGAGAGAGCCUUCUUGAAAUUGUGUUGAUCUUCUGUAACCUACUUGUCUAGAGUUUUCUUUAUUGACUGAUGAGGGUCCCUUGCAAGUGUUUUAAGCAUUUUCUUUUCUUUUCCUUUUUUUCCCUUUCCAUUUUGUUAAUUUUGUACAUGUUCUUUCUCUCUCAGAAAAGGUGUUGCGUGAGUGCUAGAAAUAUAGUUGAUUUGAGUUUGAUGGUUUUGGCUAGGGAGUAAAAUUGCACAUACUAAUUUUAUUUAUUUAUUUAUUUUUAUAUUCAGAGAAUGUGUGUGUUGGGAUAAGGGUGCGGGGUUGGGACAAGGGAGAAAUUCUCAUAGAUUCUUUCUAUAUCUAUUCAGAUUUUAUUACAAUUUCUUUCUUUACCCCGUUCUGUUAUUUUAUUUAAACAAAUAGAUCAUACAUGGUGAAGGAUCUGUUAAAAGGUAAUUGUUGGGAAGGUGCAAUAAGGAUUUCAAAAAUGAUAUAUAUUGAUUACUGAAAGAACAGAAAACAUACAUAAAGAGCUUGCCAUCUUCUGUAAAGAAGCUGUUGCAGUGCUAUUCUAAGUAUUUCAUUCAACUUUUUUAUAUUUCUUUAAUAUGACAUAUUCCACUCUUAUUAUUGAUCGUAUUAGCUGUCACAAUGUUAGGGUAGUAAUAGCACUGACUAACUGAACUUACUAUAUUGAACUUCUUGUACUUAUUCCCUGUUCCCUACAAAGAACUAGUCUUUAGAAAUAAAAGUUCGGAAAUUAUAUACAUUUCUUCAGGGAAAUAUUGCCUCUAACAAGAUGGCUACAUUGGCAGGAGAGGUGGCUGCUUAUCUCUCUCUUUUUACUUGAAUAAUAUCUAGAGAAGGGAAAAUUAUGAAUACACGGGCAUUCUACAUGUUAGGAACAUUUGCAAGAGAAGGUGCUUGUGCGUCAUUAGUAAAAUUGCUUGAUUCACAGCCAUUCCAUUUUCUUCUAAAUAUUUGUAUAUUUUACCAUAGUUUGCAGAUGUUAAGAUUUUGAAAUGAAGGUUUUGAUCUUUUUGGAAGUCUUAUUUUAAUGUUAUUAUGUCUAUGAUGCUCUUCCAUCAACCUUUCUAAUUCUCUCUCACCCAUCUUUGAAAAUGAAGAAACAAGGCUUUAAGCCUCAAGAAGUUAACUGACUCUCUUAUCCCUUUCCUUCCAGGCUAGCAAGUGUCCUUACAAUCACAGACACAUAAAAGAAAGUAUCUUUUUAACUGGAGACGGGGAUGGGGAGUGUCUUUAAGUGCCCAUUGUUUUGUAUAACUGUACAUAUCAGUCUGUAGCACUGCAACCAGUAUGUAUAAGAAUCUGUAAUAUAGAACUUAAGUACCCAAUUAACUUUAAGAAGUCGGAAUAAUCCUUUGGAAAGCUUUAUAGUUUUCAGGCCUAAUGAUCUUUCAAACAUUAAUCUGUUUCUCCUCUGUCCUUUUACAUGUGAACUGUUCUCUUGAAUGACAUUUAUUUUACCUUUCCUUUUCAACACCGUUAUCUUCAUUUUUAUAAAGUAAAAAAUUUUGCCAAUCACUACCUUCCUUCUCUUGCUAUGGGCAGCCUGAGAUUUUUAAGGCUAUCUCUGUUUAUGCACAUGCUGAAAAUUUUAAUUGCAUUGUGAACUCCUGAUAUUUACUACUUCAAUUUAAAAAAAAAAAAAAAAAAAAUGGGAUUCCUUUGUUGUUCCAUGUGUUAAAGCUUAUGUGGGACCCAAUUAGCAUUUGUUACAUUCUCGCUUUAGUGUUCCUUAAUAGUACUUAUAAUUCUGAUAUUUGUUUCUUGUAUAAGAUUGAUAGAUGCUCUGGAGAUGAUGAAGCAAGGUGUGAAGCGACUCCUUAUUCCCAAAAGCAUAGUCUGGAGAGGCAUGAGCAAGCGCUUCUCAGUUCUAUACAAUGGAAAAUGGCUCAAGAACAUCGAGACUUCUAGUGGCAAUAACACAAACCCUAUUGCCAACACUAACCUUCCAUCGUCAUCAUCUUCCACCGACAUCAUUCAGGACAAGUUUUGUUGUCUGUCAAGAGAAGAUGUUCUACGUUUCAUCAUUGGUUGCCUUGGUGCCUUGGCUCCUUUACCACUUUCCUCAAUUGCUUCCCUUGGAAUCAUCAAUCCAAACUACUGCUCUAUUGAAGCAUCUUUCCCAGCCAUUGAUGCCACCAAAAAUCGUCCCCAUGAUCCAUGUGCAGUUGCUGUUGUGGAGCCAACGUCAGAUGGUCAAUAUAACAUCAUCGGUGAAAUAUCUGCCUCUAAACUAUGGAAAUGUGAUUACUUAGCUGCAUCAUGGGCACUUGCUAAUCUCUCUGCUGGACAGUUUGUUAUGGGGGUUGAAGAUAACCUGACAUCAAGAUCACUUCCUGAUAUUGCGCUUAAUCAAAUGGUCGGGGAAUCGAAUUUAGGUAAUGGAGGAAUCCCAGCCAGGCAAAAAAAAUUCAGCAGCAGAAGUAUUGGGUUCUUUAGCAAUGCCGCAAAUUCAAGUUUUGGGGUUGGUAGGAGCAUGUAUCGGGGUAGAAGUGCACCAUUAACGUGUAAAGUUACUAGUUCGCUGGCUGCAGUAAUGGCUCAAAUAUUAUCUCACCGGGCAACACAUGUUUGGGUUACAGAGGCUGAAAACGAUGACAUAUUAGUUGGUGUCGUAGGUUAUGCUGAUAUCUUGGCUGCAGUUACCAGACAACCGGUUCCAGCCGUUUCGGAAAGCCAGCCAUCUUGAGUUUUUGCCAGCCCAUAUUUCUGCAAGAAUUUUGGGAUAGUUGUGCUUGUUUAUGCAUUGCAUUGAUUUGUCUUGGUAAUGUUACAACUUAAACAGAAGUUUAAUGUUGUGUAAGUUGAAGUGAUUCUGAGAAUGACAUAUACCUAAAACAUAUUAGCCUGCGUCUGGGGUUUUCAGUCAGUCUUUAGUUAAAAAUUGUAUGGCCAAACUUUAAACAAACUUUGGGGAUGAGAGAUGCAAUUAUGUCUUUCCCCGUUGAACUUACAAAAGGUGCAUUUGUGUUGUAAAUAUUAUUCUUUUGGGAAUAAUAUAGGGUGUAUUUACAAUUUAUAUAUUAAACAAUAAAAG
rnacentral:lncRNA from 1 species